rnacentral:rRNA from 1 species
GGACUACCCGGGUUUCUAAUCCCGUUCGCUCCCCUAGCUUUCGCGUCUCAGCGUCAGUAGACGUCCAGGACCUCGCUUUCGCCACGGGCGUUCCUUCCGAUCUCAACGCAUUUCACCGCUCCACCGGAAGUUCCAGGUCCCCCUACGUCCCUCCAGACGGGGCGUUUCGGCGCCCGUUCCCCGGUUGAGCCGGGGGCUUUCAGCGACCGACGUCCCCAUCCGCCUACACGCGCUUUAAGCCCAGUGAUUCCGAAUAACGUUCGCACGGUUCGUCUUACCGCGGCUGCUGGCAC